GACGAACGCUGGCGGCGUGCCUAAUACAUGCAAGUCGAACGAACGGAUAAAGAGCUUGCUCUUUUGAAGUUAGUGGCGGACGGGUGAGUAACACGUGGGUAACCUGCCUCACAGCUGGGGAUAACAUCGAGAAAUCGAUGCUAAUACCGAAUGUGCUGAACAUCAUAAGAUGUUCAAGUGAAAGACGGUUUCGGCUGUCACUGUGAGAUGGACCCGCGCUGGAUUAGCUAGUUGGUAAGGUAAUGGCUUACCAAGGCGACGAUCCAUAGCCGACCUGAGAGGGUGAUCGGCCACAUUGGGACUGAGACACGGCCCAAACUCCUAACGGGAGACAGCAGUAGGGAAUCUUCGGCAAUGGACGAAAGUCUGACCGAGCAACGCCGCGU
rnacentral:rRNA from 1 species